UACGUAGGUGGCAAGCGUUGUCCGGAAUUAUUGGGCGUAAAGCGCGCGCAGGCGGCUUCUUAAGUCUGAUGUGAAAGCCCACGGCUCAACCGUGGAGGGUCAUUGGAAACUGGGGAGCUUGAGUGCAGAAGAGGAGAGUGGAAUUCCAUGUGUAGCGGUGAAAUGCGUAGAUAUAUGGAGGAACACCAGCGGCGAAGGCGGCCCACUGGAUCGGUACUGACGCUGAGGUGCGAAAGCGUGGGGAGCAAACAGG
rnacentral:rRNA from 1 species